CCUGAUGAUGUUUGGGCACCACUACUAGAGAGGAAUAGAGAUGCAAGGAAGUGGCAUACUAGACCGUUUCCAUAUUUUAUGGCAUUGCAGGAGGUUUAUGAGGGGAGAUAUGCUGAAGGCAAAC